UACGGGGGGAGCAAGCGUUGUUCGGAUUUACUGGGCGUAAAGGGCGCGUAGGCGGCCGCCGCAAGUCGACUGUGAAAUCUCUGGGCUUAACCCAGAAAGGUCAGCCGAUACUGCGGGGCUAGAGUGCAGAAGGGGCAACUGGAAUUCUCGGUGUAGCGGUGAAAUGCGUAGAUAUCGAGGGGAACACCUGCGGCGAAGGCGGGUUGCUGGGCUGACACUGACGCUGAGGCGCGAAAGCUAGGGGAGCGAACGGG
rnacentral:rRNA from 1 species